UCCGGUUUCAGCGGAUUUUUCGUACCAGAAUUUACUCUUUAAGAUUAUAAAUUGGAAAGAUGAAAUGCUAAAGAAUCAGAGGCAUUUUCACUACUUUGAAAGAGUAAUGGCAGUAGUAUUUAUAGUGGACAUUUGUAACCAUGACCAGUUUACCUACGAUGACCCGCCAAAGAAUAUCCUUGAAAGUAUGGAACUGUUUAAAACUGUUUGCAACAACAAGUAUUUCAAAGACAGAGUUGUAAUCCUCUAUUUGAGCGGAACAGACAUAUUUGAAGAAAACCCAAAGACUACCUCAUUAAAUAUUUGAUUCCUGAAUAUUCUGGUAAGAUAUGAUUUACUCUUUGCUUUAUACAUAUCUAUAAUAAACAUUUGCUUUGAUGAGUAGGUCAAACCAGUAAGUUCCAUUUUUCUGUAAGUUUUGAAAAAAAAAAUACAAGAUUAUUUUCUUGGUAAUUACUUGCCUUCAAAUUUUACAGAAAAGCUAUUGAUUUAAUACAUAGCAAACAUGAUAUCCAUCGCGCAACCCAGAGCCCAGAGGCGGUUAGUAGGAACACCGAUUAGGUCUCGAUUACAUCUAGUUACAAAAGGCAAGUACUGGUAUUUUGGAGAGAGCCAACUCUUCAAAACACACUUAAAAGUUAUUCAAAUAAGUCUACAUGGGCGAGAAUAAAGAAUAGCAGUUCACUUACCAUAUAAUUCGUUUUUUAGAUCAAGAUACAUUGGAAGACGCAGCUUUUUAUGUUCAAUGUAAAUUUGCAUUUUUGAAGAACAACAAAUUUAGUACAGAACUUGUAUGGACUACACCUACCAAAAAUGACAUGAUUGUGACUGAAGCUGUUUAAUACGUAAUAAUGAAAAAAAUUUAUAAGAAUGUUCCUCAUGAUUGGUUUGACAACAUGCUUUAAAAUGAGCAGCGUUCCAUUGUCGAUACAAGUGAAGCCAUUGAACAGAGCAACAUCCCUUUUAACCUUUACCCUGCUGAAUUUCUAAAAUGGAAUUGUUCGUC
rnacentral:lncRNA from 1 species